GCCAAACAGCUAGCUCAAUUACCCAAUAACUAAACAAUAUAAAUAAAACAAAAUAAGCCUAACACCAAAAAUUAAAUCAUUCUUUUACCUUAGUAUGGGCGACAGAAAAGGUUACACCUGGAGCAAUAGAAAAAGUACCGCAAGGGAAAGCUGAAAGAGAAAUGAAAUAACUUAUAUAAGCACCAAAAAGCAAAGAUUAAAUCUUGUACCUUUCGCAUCAUGAUUUAGCCAGUAUAUCCAAGCAAAGAGACCUUUAGUUUGAAACCCCGAAACCAAGUGAGCUACCCCGAGACAGCCUAUUAAGGGCCAACCCGUCUCUGUGGCAAAAGAGUGGGAAGAGCUCCGGGUAGAGGUGACAGACCUACCGAACUUGGUGAUAGCUGGUUGCCUAAGAAGUGAAUAGAAGUUCAGCCUCGUACUCCCUGAAUCAAAAGAUAUAAAAAGAUAUUAGAGGGAAAUAUAUGAGAGUUAGUUAAAGGGGGUACAGCCCCUUUAACAAAGGACACAACCUUCCCAGGAGGAUAAAGAUCAUAAUACAUAAGACAUCCUGUUCUAGUGGGCCUAAAGGCAGCCAUCUAAACAGAAAGCGUUAAAGCUCAGACAGAAAUAAGUUUAUUAUUCCGACAAGAAAUCUUACUCCCCUAAAUAUUAUUAGGCCAGCCCAUGCCCACAUGGGAGAGACUAUGCUAAAAUGAGUAACAAGAAGGCCAGCCCUUCUCCAAGCACAAGUGUAAGCCAAACCGGACCGACCAUUGGCAAUUAACGAACUCAACCCGAGAGAGUAAUGUGUAUUACAACGAAACCAGGAAGAACCCACAAUUAACCCAUCGUUACCCCCACACUGGCGUGCUAUUAAAGGAAAGACUAAAAGAAGGGAAAGGAACUCGGCAAACACAAGCCUCGCCUGUUUACCAAAAACAUCGCCUCCUGCAACACAACCAAGUAUAGGAGGUCCAGCCUGCCCAGUGACUACAAGUUCAACGGCCGCGGUAUUUUGACCGUGCAAAGGUAGCGCAAUCACUUGUCUCUUAAAUGGAGACCUGUAUGAAUGGCUAAACGAGGGCUUAACUGUCUCCCCCCUCCAGUCAGUGAAAUUGAUCUACCCGUGCAGAAGC
rnacentral:rRNA from 1 species